UUACGGGAGGCAGCAGUAGGGAAUAUUGGUCAAUGGAUGCAAGUCUGAACCAGCCAUGCCGCGUGCAGGAAGAAGGCCUUCUGGGUUGUAAACUGCUUUUGCCAGGGGAUAAAAUGACCUUGCGAGGUUAAUUGAAGGUACCUGGUGAAUAAGCCACGGCUAACUACGUGCCAGCAGCCGCGGUAAUACGUAGGUGGCAAGCGUUGUCCGGAUUUAUUGGGUUUAAAGGGUGCGUAGGCGGCCUUGUAAGUCAGUGGUGAAAUAUCUCAGCUUAACUGAGAGGGUGCCAUUGAUACUGCAGGGCUUGAGUACAGAUGAGGUAGGCGGAAUUGACGGUGUAGCGGUGAAAUGCAUAGAUAUCGUCAAGAACUCCGAUAGCGAAGGCAGCUUACUAAGCUGUAACUGACGCUGAGGCACGAAAGUGUGGGGAUCAAACAGGAUUAGAUACCCCGGU
rnacentral:rRNA from 1 species